GACGUAGGGCGCGGGCGUUGUCCGGAUUUAUUGGGCGUAAAGAGCUCGUAGGCGGCUUGUCGCGUCGUCUGUGAAAUCCCGCGGCUCAACUGCGGGCUGGCAGUCGAUACGGGCAGGCUGGAGUUCGGUAGGGGAGACUGGAAUUCCUGGUGUAGCGGUGAAAUGCGCAGAUAUCAGGAGGAACACCGGUGGCGAAGGCGGGUCUCUGGGCCGAUACUGACGCUGAGGAGCGAAAGCGUGGGGAGCGAACAGG
rnacentral:rRNA from 1 species